UACAGGGGGUGCAACCGUUGCUCGGAAUUAUUGGGCGUAAAGCGCGCGUAGGCGGCUACUUAAGUCGGAUGUGAAAGCCCUUGGCUCAACUGAGGAAGUGCACCCGAAACUGAGUGGCUAGAGUACGAAAGAGGGUCGCGGAAUUCCGGGUGUAGCGGUGAAAUGCGUAGAUAUCCGGAGGACCACCGGUGGCGAAGGCGGCUUCCGGACCGAUACUGACGCUGAGGCGCGAAAGCUAGGGGAGCAAACGGG
rnacentral:rRNA from 1 species